UACCAAUUUUCCUAAAUAAAGUUCCAGCUUAAUAAAUGACGGUUUAAAUAAAUUGAGUAAAUUUCGCGGCUAAAGUGAUCACGUGUGCAGCUCCGCAGGGAAAAAAAUCUGCUUUCCUCAGCAGAGACGUCGACUUACAAGCCAUACUCCUCACAACUCCUGGAAAGUAACGUUAGUCAGCUAAUCCUACUUACGUUUGUAACACUUUAUUAUAAAGUUAAUAAUUAUUAAGCAUUUCCUAACAAUUGUCUUUGUAUUUUACGUCAUCUUCAACAAGUUUCGUAGCUUAAUCGAAGUCACCUGAAGGAUGGCUUUCCUGAGUUUCCUCAGCAACGGCAAGACCCGCACUCCUCUCAUAUCGUGAAGUUUAACAAGUUUCGCGGCUCAAGCAAGAGGCACCUGUCACUGAAGGACUGCUUUUCUCAGCAACGACGUGAACAGCAUUACUCGAAUUUCCUGGUUCAGCUGAUCUACCGGUCUUCGUACAAGCAGAGUUGGCAGAAGAGGUCAUAAAAAUCUCCUUC